UACAGAGGUCUCAAGCGUUGUUCGGAUUCAUUGGGCGUAAAGGGUGCGUAGGUGGCGCGCUAAGUCAGGUGUGAAAUUUCGGAGCUUAACUCCGAAACUGCAUUUGAUACUGCCGUGCUUGAGGACUGGAGAGGAGACUGGAAUUUACGGUGUAGCGGUGAAAUGCGUAGAUAUCGUAAGGAAGACCAGUGGCGAAGGCGGGUCUCUGGACAGUUCCUGACGCUGAGGCACGAAGGUCAGGGGAGCAAACGGG
rnacentral:rRNA from 1 species